rnacentral:rRNA from 1 species
GACAGAGGGUGCAAACGUUGUUCGGAAUUACUGGGCGUAAAGCGCGUGUAGGCUGCUUCGCAAGUCGGGUGUGAAAGCCCUGGGCUCAACCUAGGAAGUGCACUCGAAACUGCGAAGCUCGAGUCCUGGAGAGGAAGGCGGAAUUCUCGGUGUAGAGGUGAAAUUCGUAGAUAUCGAGAGGAACACCGGUGGCGAAGGCGGCCUUCUGGACAGUGACUGACGCUGAGACGCGAAAGCGUGGGGAGCAAACAGG